UACAGAGGGUGCAAGCGUUGUUCGGAAUUAUUGGGCGUAAAGGGCGCGUAGGCGGCCGCGUAUGUCCGGUGUGAAAUCCCACCUCUUAAAGGUGGAGUUGCAUCGGAAACUACGUGGCUGGAGUGUCGGAGAGGAUGGUGGAAUUCCUGGUGUAGAGGUGAAAUUCGUAGAUAUCAGGAGGAACACCGGUGGCGAAGGCGGCCAUCUGGACGACUACUGACGCUGAGGCGCGAAAGCGUGGGGAUCAAACAGG
rnacentral:rRNA from 1 species